UACAGAGGGUGCAAGCGUUGUUCGGAAUUAUUGGGCGUAAAGGGAGUGUAGGCGGUUUGUUAAGUCUUCUGUGAAAUCUACGGGCUUAGCCUGUAAAGUGCAGAGGAAACUGGCAAGCUUGAGUGUCGGAGAGGGUGGCGGAAUUCCCGGUGUAGAGGUGAAAGUUCGUAGAUAUCGGGAGGAACACCUGUGGCGAAGGCGGCCACCUGGACGUUGACUGACGCUGAGACGCGAAAGCAUGGGGAGCAAACAGGG
rnacentral:rRNA from 1 species